rnacentral:rRNA from 1 species
UAGGGAAUCUUCCGCAAUGGACGAAAGUCUGACGGAGCAACGCCGCGUGAGUGAUGAAGGUUUUCGGAUCGUAAAGCUCUGUUGUUAGGGAAGAACAAGUACCGUUCGAACAGGGCGGUACCUUGACGGUACCUAACCAGAAAGCCACGGCUAACUACGUGCCAGCAGCCGCGGUAAUACGUAGGUGGCAAGUGUUGUCCGGAAUUAUUGGGCGUAAAGGGCUCGCGGGCGGUUUCUUAAGUCUGAUGUGAAAGCCCCCGGCUCAACCGGGGAGGGUCAUUGGAAACUGGGGAACUUGAGUGCAGAAGAGGAGAGUGGAAUUCCACGUGUAGCGGUGAAAUGCGUAGAGAUUAGGAAGAACACCAGUGGCGAAGGCGAUUCUCUGGACUGUAACUGACGCUGAGGCUCGAAAGCGUGGGGAGCAAACA